UUUUGUAGCCACAAACAUGAAAAACAAACCUGUUUGAAAUUCACCAGAAAUCAUUUAGAUUACUUGAGAACUAUCUAAAUGAUUUCUGGUGAAUCUCAAACAGGUUUGUUUUUCAUGUUUGUGGCUACAAAAAA